rnacentral:rRNA from 1 species
UACGAGGGGGGCAAGCGUUGUUCGGAUUUAUUGGGCGUAAAGGGUGCGUAGGCGGUGCGGCAAGUCGGGAGUGAAAUCUCUGGGCUUAACCCAGAGGCUGCUUCCGAAACUGCUGUGCUUGAGUGUGGGAGAGGCGCGUGGAAUUGCAGGUGUAGCGGUGAAAUGCGUAGAUAUCUGCAGGAACACCCGUGGCGAAAGCGGCGCGCUGGACCACUACUGACGCUGAGGAACGAAAGCUAGGGGAGCAAACAGG